ACGGGUGAGUAACGCGUGGAUAAUCUGCCUUGGAGUGGGGGAUAACCAGUCGAAAGAUUGGCUAAUACCGCAUAAGACCACAAGAUCUGCGGAUCAAGGGGUCAAAGGUUUUUCGUUCCAAGAUGAGUCCGCGUGAGAUUAGCUAGUUGGUGAGGUAAUGGCUCACCAAGGCAACGAUCUCUAACUGGUCUGAGAGGAUGAUCAGUCACACUGGAACUGAGACACGGUCCAGACUCCUACGGGAGGCAGCAGUAGGGAAUAUUGCACAAUGGAGGAAAUUCUGAUGCAGCGACGCCGCGUGAGUGAUGAAGGCCUUCGGGUCGUAAAGCUCUGUCGCAGGGGAAUAACACAAUGAAUGUACCCUGCAAGAAAGGAUCGGCUAACUUCGUGCCAGCAGCCGCGGUAAGACGAGGGAUCCUAGCGUUGUUCGGAAUUAUUGGGCGUAAAGCGGGUGUAGGUGGCUAUGUAAGUCAGGUGUGAAAGCCUAGGGCUCAACCCUAGAAGUGCAUUUGAUACUGCGUAGCUUGAGUGGUAGAGAGGAUAGUAGAAUUCUUGGUGUAGUGGUGAAAUACGUAGA
rnacentral:rRNA from 1 species